rnacentral:rRNA from 1 species
AUUGAACGCUGGCGGCAUGCCUUACACAUGCAAGUCGAACGGUAACAGGUUAAGCUGACGAGUGGCGAACGGGUGAGUAAUACAUCGGAACGUGCCCAGUAGUGGGGGAUAGCCCGGCGAAAGCCGGAUUAAUACCGCAUACGACCUAAGGGUGAAAGGGGGGGAUCGCAAGACCUCUCGCUAUUGGAGCGGCCGAUGUCAGAUUAGCUAGUUGGUGGGGUAAAAGCUCACCAAGGCGACGAUCUGUAGCUGGUCUGAGAGGACGACCAGCCACACUGGGACUGAGACACGGCCCAGACUCCUACGGGAGGCAGCAGUGGGGAAUUUUGGACAAUGGGCGCAAGCCUGAUCCAGCCAUGCCGCGUGCGGGGAGAAGGCCUUCGGGUUGUAAACCGCUUUUGUCAGGGAAGAAAUCCUUUGGGUUAAUACCUCGGGGGGAUGACGGUACCUGAAGAAUAAGCACCGGCUAACUACGUG